AAAAAGAUAAGCUAAUAAAGCUUUUAGGCUCAUACCCUAACUAUAGAAAAUCUCUUCUUUUUA
rnacentral:tRNA from 1 species